CUCUCUCUCUGUACGGGAAGGAUGAAGCUGCGGCCCAGGUUCGAUUCGAGCGUCAGCGAAAGCGUUGCCGCGAGCAGCGCGACCCGAAGGAGCGGCGCGCAGCGCUGAGUCAUCCUCCCCACCACCACCA
rnacentral:sRNA from 1 species